rnacentral:pre_miRNA from 1 species
AUUGAUUCACCUGUUUAUUGAGCAUGGUACCUAUUGAUUCACCUGUUUAUUGAGCAUGGUAAAUGAAUCAAUAGGUACCAUGCUCAAUAAACAGAUGAAUCA